AGACGUUUUAGCUUCUUCCCUCGUAGCAUACAUAUCGGUCCCGUCCUCCAGGGAAAUCGUAAGAUUUAUUUACGUCACUCUCAUCACGGAAUCAAUAUAAGAAAAGAUAAGGGAAGAAAACAGGAAGACGAAAAGGAAGAGGAGGAAGAAUGAACGAAGCGAAUACGUAGAGUACGUAAUGUGCACGUACGAAGGAAGCAAGCGGAGGAAGAAGCAGCGAACGAACCAACCAACGAAGCAAGGAACAAACCAAGCAAGCAGCAAGCAACCAACCAAGCUCUACCUAGCGGGGAGAGAUGCGCGAGCUUGUUCGCGCUCCUUAUAUGGCCAUCCGCGCAGUCUGAACUCGGCAAUGCGCUUCCAGAAGAGAUUCUCACAAAUUUACGCGGUACUACGUUUCCAUCGCUACUUUCUCUCCCCCGCUAGAAGAUACUUUUUGCCUGCGCUACGACGAUACACACACACGGGGCGGGAGUGGGAUAAAGGGGAAAUAGGGGAUAAGGGGUAAGAGAGGAGGGGGCAAGGAGGGAGAAACGGCGACCUAUGCGUUUCAACGCGGUCUUUCUUACACGCGUACACGUAUACAUAGUUAGAUAUGUGCGUAUGCACGUAGUACCUACUACCUAUAACUAUAUAGAGAAAAAAUAGACUCGACCGUUCCUGCCCUCCUCCCCCUUUGCGUACCCCUCGCGCGAGAAUUCACGAUGAGUAUGCCUCAAACCGAAUCCCUCUCUCGAGGUUAUACUCCGUCUUGGGAGUCUCUACUUCUUCUUCCUUUUAUUUUUUUUUCUUUCUUUUUUUUUUCCUUUUUUUCUUUUUUACUUAUUCUUCUUCUUCUUCUUCUUCUUCUUCUUAGUCUUCUUCGUCUUCGUCUUUCUCGACUUUGACGAGCUGCAGGAAAGACAGAGAGAGACAGAGAGAGAGAGAGAGAGAGAGAGAGAGAGAGAGAGAGAGAAAGAGAAAGAGCAAAAAAAGAAGUCGACUUGUUGUGGUUCGAGGCUUGAUAACUCGCGGUCGAUCCGCUCGAUGCUACGCGCUGCUCGUAAUGAGCGGAAAGGAUCGUGGGUGAUCUCGAGGAGAGUGAGAGUAAGAGAGGGAAGGAUUUCGAGGAAUACACUCCACCUUAUGAUUUUCUUUCAUAGAUAUACGACAUUCACCUUGAAACAUUUGAAAUCGUUAAAUUAUAUUGUAUUAAUUAUUCGAUAAUUAUCAAUCAUCGUUCGAUUUGUAGAUAUAUAAACUUAAGAAAAAUAAUGUAUGUAUAUAUAUAUAUAUAUGUGUGUGUAUGUAUGUAUGUAUGUAUGUAUGUAUAUAUCGAAUUAAAAGGUAAAAGAGAUUUAAAGUGACAACGAACGACUAACUCGACCGGAUUCCAUUACGCGCUUUCUGCCUUCGUUCGAGUUAUUAUUCUGGAGGGUCUCUUGGACGUUCGCCGAGUCCCGUUCCGCGGAAUUUAGUGAACCAGUGCGACCGCCAAUAUCGAACCACUUCCUUAACGCGUUACGAAUUCGUCGGCUGACGUUACUCCAUGUACCCAACAUUUCCGUACUGGAUUUUUAUCCUGUCGCAUACAAGUCGGAAAGGAAAAGAAUAAAAAGAAAGAAAGAAAGAAAGGGGAAAAAAAAAAAGAGAAAAGAAGAAAAAAAAAAAUUCUAAUUGCUUUCUUUCUUUCCUUUCCUUUCCCUAUUUCUUUUUUCUUUUUUCUUCUGUAUAAAUCCCAUCUACGAACAUCUCUCGGAUAAGUUCAAGAACGUGGUACAACCGUUGCUAGCGAUGAUCAUUUACGACUUACAUUUUAAGUGAACCGACGAUACCUAGUCUAAUCCUUCGGGAAUUGUUUCCACUAGAAAAUGAUGCUAGAUUGAUGUUUAGAAACGGUUGUUCGUUGUCAGUUGAAUUAAAAAGUUGCGCCGUAUUCUCGAAAGAAAAAAAAAAAAAAAAGAAAAAAAAAAGAAAAAAAGAAAAAGAAAAAAAUCGGCGAACAGCGAUUUUUUUUUAUUUUUUAUUUUUCUUUCUUUUUUUUUUCUAUUUAAGUCCUUCCAAACUUCAUAAUUAUCGUAAUAAAAUGGUCCAUAAUCACGAUCGUAUCGUAUGUUUAAUUCUUUUUUUUUUUUUUUUUUUUCACGAAUACGAAGUUAUUAUUACGUAUUUUGUUCGUCGUACCAUGACAGAGCUCGAAAAUUUUGUUUAUAAAUGUUAAUUGACAAAAAUUAUUAUUUUUAUCAUUUAAUAUGGAAUAGAUGAGAGAAACCGUCAGGGUUACCGAAAAAGUUACGCAAGUGGAUUUCUCACUUAAGAUAUACGUACAUAUACAGACAGAUAGACAGACAGACAGACAGACAGAGAGACAGAGAGAAAGAGAGAGAGAGAGAGAGAGAGAGAGAGAGAGAGAGAGAGAGAGACAACGAUAUGAGCGUGUGCCUACGCCGCAACCACAAAACACGAGCUGCGAUUAUAUUCCUUGCGAGUUUGUUCGUAAUAGGCAAGCGUCGUUCCGCUUCAACAUCAUCGUAUAUCAUUCUUCUUCGUCUAUUAUACCGUAUUCUCUCUCUCUCUCUCUCCCUCUCUUUAUUUCUGUUUUUUCUCUUUUCCUCUCGUUCUCUUUUUUCGCCCUUUGCACUUUGCUUUUUUGCCGGAUAAAAUCAUUUCUUUCAUUCUUUUUCUAGCACGCACGCACGCACGCAACUCCUUUAGAAAGACAUUUUAGGAAAUGCGAAUUUUACCGGCGUGA